CAUGCCUGUAUUAAAGUCAUAAAUCAUUAAAGUUUAAAUAAUCUUAGAAAUUAUUUAACCCAACUGUUUCAUUUUGCAACUGAGUAACCGAGACCAAAAAGAUAGAGUUACUUUUCAACACCACAAAUCUGGUCAUUGGAAGUGCCCUUAUCUUCUGUCAGAUACACUGCUUAUUUGAACCCAUCUCUCUUGAUUUCCUGGCCAAUAAUCUUUUCUCCUGAAAGCACUGUCACCACGUAGGCCAAUCACACAAAUUCCAAGAUGGGAUACUUACUAUGAAAAUGGUUACAUUUUUAAUACCAAUCUAAUUUUGGUUCACCA
rnacentral:lncRNA from 1 species